rnacentral:rRNA from 1 species
UACGAAGGGUGCAAGCGUUAAUCGGAAUUACUGGGCGUAAAGCGUGCGUAGGCGGUUGUUUAAGUCUGUCGUGAAAUCCCCGGGCUCAACCUGGGAAUGGCGAUGGAUACUGGACAGCUAGAGUGUGUCAGAGGAUGGUGGAAUUCCCGGUGUAGCGGUGAAAUGCGUAGAGAUCGGGAGGAACAUCAGUGGCCAAGGCGGCCAUCUGGGACAACACUGACGCUGAAGCCCGAAAGCGUGGGGAGCAAACAGG